rnacentral:SRP_RNA from 1 species
GCUGGGUGUGGUGGUGUGCAACUAUGGCCCCAGCUACUUGGGAGGCUGAGACAGGAGGAUCACUUGAGCCCAGACUUCUGGGCUGUAGUGCGCUAUGUCCAUCGGGUGUCCACACAAUAUGGACCAUGAAUCAAUAUGAUGACCUCCCACAAGCAAGGGACCACCAGGUUACCUAAGAAGGGGUUAACCAGCCUCAGUCAGAAAUGGAGCAGGGUAGACUUCCACGCUGAUAAGUGCUGGACCCCAUCUGUGAAUAGCCACUGCACUCCAGCCUGGGCAACAUAGUGAGAACUUGUCUCU